UGUGAGUGCUUGAAGCUGCCAGCAUGAUCUGGUCAUCUAAAACUUAGAUCAAUUAGUUAUAUUUAUGUGAGAAACUUUGUUUUGGUUAUCUUUAUCAUUAGUACUACUACAUAGAGUUCUUGACGUCAUUUUGAUGAUUUCUAGCUUGUUUACAUAUUAUUUUAUUUGUUGAUAGGAUUUGAGGUCUAAUUGCAUAGAAUUUUGUAAGCCUGCAUUCAUUCUCAUCAGAUCAUCUUGCAGCUUCAAUCACUCACU
rnacentral:pre_miRNA from 1 species